rnacentral:tRNA from 2 species
GCGGACGUGGUGAAAUUGGUAGACACGCUGGUCUUAGAAGCCAGUGCCAAUGGUGUGAGAGUUCGAGUCUCUCCGUCCGCACCA